CAAAUACAUGCAAGCGGAAAGUAUGAGCAUGUUUUGCCAAGGUUGGCGAAAGGAAUGUCUUAUGGAACUCCGGAUGAGGAUCAAGCAAGAAAG